GGACUUCCGCGGGGCGCCGACGCAAUCUACAAAGGUCAUCAGGUCGCCGGCGGAGAGCGCAGCUAGGGCGGGGGCGACGCGCUCGUCGCAGUGGGCCAGGGUAAAGGGGGAGAUUUCGCCGAUGAGGCGGCCGUCGUCGGAGACGACGGCGACGGAUGUCUGCUCUGCGAGGGCGGCGCGGAUGAGGGGGAGGGCGGAGAGUGCAGGGUCCUGGGGCCGGACGGCCAGGGCAGCGGGGCGGACGAGGCCGAGGUCGGUGACGGAGAGGGCGGGGACCGGCGAGAAGAGAGCGAUGGAGUUGAGGAAGAAACGGACGAAAUCCUCCCGCGUCAGCCAGCAUAAUUCGGCGGCGGAGCCGGAGGUGAACUUCCUCGGCGAUGCGGCGG
rnacentral:lncRNA from 1 species